UCGUCUUUCCAUCCAUUCCUAACAGUACCGCUUCUCAAUUCUCUGCAACAAUUCUCUGCGUCCCUUGCCGCUACUGCUCUCUCCAUCGCUAACUCAUGCUUCUCUGUCACAAUCCUCUGCGUAAUCUCUCUCUGCCAUGAGAGGAUGGUGAGGAUACUAUGGCAACAUCGGAACGUUGAUGACUACAACGAUCCAGUUGCGUUGAAAGGAGGAAUAUAUUUGAUGCAACUGCACGUUGUUUGAGAUCCAUCAUGAACAAGGAUGUCCUUCUGCCUUUUAAGGUUGGACAAUUGGCUGAAUCAAGAUCAUUUCAGAUAGGGUAUCGUGGUGCAUGGUUCCGAUGCAAGAUAAAAGAGAUUGACCGGAGACACGGGCAUAUUGGGCAUGUCUUGGAAUUUGUUGAUUUUCCUGAUGAAAAAAUAAAAUGGACAAGGUUAUAUCAAUAUCCCCCAACUAAUGUUAGGAAGUCAAAGGGAAUAAAUAGGCAACUGAUGGUGCGUCCACAGUAUCCUCCUAUCAUUUAUCGUGAGAGUGAAAUUCCUAAUGUCAAAACCGAUUCAGAAGUGGCAGUUGUCAUUGAUGGUGCCUGGAAAGUAGGGGACUUAAUUGAUUGGUGGACCUCUGAUUCUUAUUGGUGUGGACGAGUGACUAAAAUUUUGGGCAAUGACAAGGUUAAGAUUUAUUUGCUACCGCGUCCUCUGGGUGAAGGUUUAUCAUAUGAAGUUUUCUGCAAGGAUCUACGCCCAUCCUUGGAUUGGUCUCCAGAAUGUGGUUGGACAGUGCCUAUUCCAUUGGAUGGUGAAAAUUUUCGUCCUUUUGCUCGGCUUAUUCAGCUGGUGAAUCAAGAGAAAUCAUUACCUGCUCUGGAUGAAGCAAAGCUGUCUGUACCGAGGGGUGUGCUGAAACAACCAUUGAGCAUCACUGUUUCCAAGGAGGCGAUGCACAUGCCAGAAACAAAUUUGGAAACUGAAGGGCAUGCUGGGGAAGGCCUGUAUUAUCGCGAGGAGUCGUCAAAGAAGAUGAGAACUGGUGGAAGCAUUUCCUUAAAUUCUAUGUGCUCUGACACUUUAGAAGCUGCAAUUAUGGAUUUGGAGGAACUUGCAAACAGGGUCAAAUGGCUUAGGAGCAUGCUAGAAUUUGGAAUUCCUUUGUCCAAUGCUGUGAGACCUCCAUGGAAGUUUGUGGAACACCAUGCAUCAUCAGCACCAAAAUGAGUGAUUAAAUAAGUGCCUCCAGCAACAUCUUGGAUCUCUGGUCAAGCAAGUAUUAUUUCUCCUCUUGUUAGUAUUCAUAAACAUUUGGCGGUGGUGUUGGUGUUGGUUGGAUUACUGAUUUGAAUGAAGAGAUUACUUGAUGCGGCAUAGUCUACUGAACCAUGUUCCAAUUGAGCAUGGGGAGAACCUUACAGAUGUAUCAUGAUUCUGAUUGAAAAGCAUGUUACUUUGUGUACCUACUUCUGUGUAGUCUGUGCCUUGAGUGCUCUAUUUCAGCCUGGUAUCAGUUCCUUUUUCAUUAUUAUUAUUAUUUUUCUUUUAAAAUUUUCUUUUAUAAGCUCCACGUAUCAAUUUGAAAAAUUGUAUGUAUUUCGGGUUCACUCUAAAAUCGCUACGCUGGACAUCUGUUGAAUUUUAUGGUGCCAUUUUAGCACGAAGUUGUAAAAUAAUGUGACCUGAGCGUUUCAAAUA